rnacentral:rRNA from 1 species
UACGGGGGGAGCAAGCGUUGUUCGGAUUUACUGGGCGUAAAGGGCGCGUAGGCGGCCAGCGCAAGUCAGUUGUGAAAUCUCCGGGCUUAACUCGGAAAGGUCAACUGAUACUGUGCGGCUAGAGUGCAGAAGGGGCAACUGGAAUUCUCGGUGUAGCGGUGAAAUGCGUAGAUAUCGAGAGGAACACCUGCGGCGAAGGCGGGUUGCUGGGCUGACACUGACGCUGAUGCGCGAAAGCCAGGGGAGCGAACGGG